GUCAUGUUGGUAUAGUGGUUAGCGAGUGAGACUACCAUUAUAAUGGUCAUAGGUUCGAUCCCCACAGUCGACA
rnacentral:tRNA from 1 species